rnacentral:rRNA from 1 species
CCUACGGGUGGCAGCAGUGAGGAAUAUUGGUCAAUGGGCGAGAGUCUGAACCAGCCAAGUAGCGUGAAGGAUGACUGCCCUAUGGGUUGUAAACUUCUUUUAUAUGGGAAUAAAAUGUUCCACGUGUGGGAUUUUGUAUGUACCAUAUGAAUAAGGAUCGGCUAACUCCGUGCCAGCAGCCGCGGUAAUACGGAGGAUCCGAGCGUUAUCCGGAUUUAUUGGGUUUAAAGGGAGCGUAGGUGGAUUGUUAAGUCAGUUGUGAAAGUUUGCGGCUCAACCGUAAAAUUGCAGUUGAAACUGGCAGUCUUGAGUAGAGUAGAGGUGGGCGGAAUGCGUGGUGUAGCGGUGAAAUGCUUAGAUAUCACGAAGAACUCCGAUUGCGAAGGCAGUUCACUGGACUGCAACUGACACUGAGGCUCGAAAGUGUGGGUAUCAAACAGGAUUAGAUACCCUUGUAGUC